rnacentral:lncRNA from 1 species
CACAGGGCUAUACUUCCAUCAUCUCCAUACUUGCUGGGAGAUUGAGUAAUUGGUGUCUGGAUGUGCGUGUGCUGCUUCCCAAAAUACCUCUUUAAAAAGACGUGAGAGGGAUGCGGAGCCAGUAGGGUAAAGCAUUGGCUUCCGUAUCUUUCAAAUUGUCCCGAGUGAUUCUGAUCCACAGUGAAAACUGAAAACUGUUCUAAUAUUCACCUUGCCGGAAAAGUAAGACUAUGUGAAGUGAACCCUCCUUCAAAUUGGAGAAGGAAGCUUUGAGAUUUCCAGGGAAGAUGGAAGACAGAACAGCUUGAGCCAUUUGGGUGCGGUGUAGAACUGGAAAUUGUGUCAAGGUUGACUGAGCCCUGUUUCUGGUCUAAGAAAGUUAAAACUUGUAUUCAAAAUGGAUAUCAAGACAACAUAAAAUGAAAUGACUGAUUUUGAAGAUUGAGAAUUAGGAAUAUUGUACAGAUGCUGUCAUUCCUACAUGAAGGAGGCAGAAGAAUGUAGCAAGCUCAGCUCUCUAAUGCCAGGAGUGGCACUUUCAGUGACCAGAGCUCCCUGGGUCCUCUGUGUAUCCCUCCCCUGUCAACUGAUUCAACAGAGGCUGGGCUGGUCCUGGCAUUAGCACAUUUUUGAAUCUGCCUUUGGCUGUGACUUCACCCAAAGACAGAAAGGGGAAGUUUCUGGUCUACAUAGCCAACAUGUGGUCUUGAUAAUAAAUCAUUGCUUGUUUGGAAGAAUUUGGUCUGAGCCUUACUUUUAUUGUAAAACACUACCUGUAGAUGGCAGAUGGGGCAUGGGACCUUUAGGCCUUAUCCAGCUCUAAACAUGGGAGGCUACCAAAGACUCUGACGUUUGGCAAAUGGCCAAAUUUGCAGAGAU